GAUUAACGCUGGCGGCGUGCCUAACACAUGCAAGUCGAGCGGCAGCGAGUUUUACACUGAAUUCUGGAAGCUUCUAGUUGAAAGAGAAGAUUUAUUCAAGAAUUUUGUGUAAAAUGUCGGCGAGCGGCGGACGGCUGAGUAACGCGUGGGAACGUACCCCAAAGUGAGGGAUAACGCAUCGAAAGGUGUGCUAAUACCGCAUAUGGUCUUCGGAUUAAAGCCUUCGGGCGCUUUGGGAACGGCCUGCGUAAGAUUAGAUAGUUGGUGGGGUAAUGGCCUACCAAGUCGACGAUCUUUAACUGGUUUGAGAGGAUGAUCAGUCAGACUGGAACUGAGACACGGUCCAGACUCCUACGGGGGGCAGCAGUGAGGAAUCUUCCACAAUGGGCGAAAGCCUGAUGGAGCAACGCCGCGUGCAGGAUGAAGGCCUUCGGGUUGUAAACUGCUUUUAUAAGUGAGGAUUAUGACAGUAACUUAUGAAUAAGGAUCGGCUAACUACGUG
rnacentral:rRNA from 1 species